CACAAUUGAAUGACAACCCAUUUUAAAGUGCAGUUCAUUUUUCUUAGGGUUUCAUACACUUUUCUGCCGUCGUGUAAACUCCGGCGAAAACCUACGAUCAUCAUCUUUCUCUCGUUGCUCUAACCUAGGGUUUCAUACACUUUUCUGCCGCCGUAUAAAUUCCGGCGAAAACCCACGAUCAUCAACGAUCUACUCCAACGAUGGUGGUUGUUCCGUGUUUGAUCGGCGCUGCGUGUUCUUCUUCUUCUCUCUCACACUCUCUCUCUCUGACAUUUCUUCCCAAACAACUGUAGGGUUAUUUCCGAUGUUGUUAGGGUUUGCGGUGUCAAUCGGUGCAUUGCUUGAUAAACACUCAAAUCGUCACUCUCUGCUCGUCUUAUCGUAUCCAGAUUUAACCUAACAUCAUCGAAACUCACUUCAUUUUGGCCCUGUGUAAAGGGAUAUCAUUUCUGGAUCUGGUCGAACAACAGGGGACCAAUCUUCGUUGUGUGAUAAUGUAAUUUAUAAGUGUCCAUGUUUGAAGGUUGCCAUGAAUUGAUAUGUUAUUUUCUUAGACUUCUCCGUUACAACUACUGUCAUUUGUUCCAUCAGUUUGUUGCUGUUCAAUCAUAAUUGGUGACUACAUGAAGUAAAAAUACUUAUUAAAGACAUGGGUUGGAAAUCAACACGAAGCAAGAAGAUAAUUGGAAACUGCCGCUAACUGAAUAAUCAUGGGAGAGAGAGUGCAAAACCGACGCCAACUGCUGCUUCUAGAAGGAAUUUAGUGACUUUGAACGGCUGAGAUUAAAAGUUGAUGACUUUGAACGGCUGUAAUUAGCUCAAAUGGCGGUUACAAACAACGGGAACAAUAUAAUAUAGAAUGUUUACCUCGUUGGGCCGCAUAAGUGUAGUGCAUUUGUGUUAAAUGCAAACUGAUAAUGUAUAAAUUUCAUCAUCGGAUGCGUGAUCCAACAUGGAACUAAUCGUGAUGCUAUUUGAUACGUGUUUUGUAAACUAUGAUGCGUGAGGUAAAUGUGUACGUGAACCAACCCCCCUACUAUGUAUAUGAACGAGGACUUGCAUGUUGCAUGAAUGACUAUUGUGAAGGGUACGACGCUAUGUGCAAUUUGUAUGAGUGGACUACAAGUGUGGCAUAUGUAAAAGAUACGUGUUCCAAAUAUAUGUUGAAACUGAUUGAUGUA